rnacentral:rRNA from 1 species
ACGAUGAUGCCCAGCUUGCUGGGUGGAUUAGUGGCGAACGGGUGAGUAACACGUGAGUAACCUGCCCCUGACUCUGGGAUAAGCGUUGGAAACGACGUCUAAUACUGGAUAUGACUGCCGGCCGCAUGGUCUGGUGGUGGAAAGAUUUUUUGGUUGGGGAUGGACUCGCGGCCUAUCAGCUUGUUGGUGAGGUAAUGGCUCACCAAGGCGACGACGGGUAGCCGGCCUGAGAGGGUGACCGGCCACACUGGGACUGAGACACGGCCCAGACUCCUACGGGAGGCAGCAGUGGGGAAUAUUGCACAAUGGGCGAAAGCCUGAUGCAGCAACGCCGCGUGAGGGAUGACGGCCUUCGGGUUGUAAACCUCUUUUAGUAGGGAAGAAGCGAAAGUGACGGUACCUGCAGAAAAAGCACCGGCUAACUACGUGCCAGCAGCCGCGGUAAUACGUAGGGUGCAAGCGUUGUCCGGAAUUAUUGGGCGUAAAGAGCUCGUAGGCGGUUUGUCGCGUCUGCUGUGAAAUCCCGAGGCUCAACCUCGGGCUUGCAGUGGGUACGGGCAGACUAGAGUGCGGUAGGGGAGAUUGGAAUUCCUGGUGUAGCGGUGGAAUGCGCAGAUAUCAGGAGGAACACCGAUGGCGAAGGCAGAUCUCUGGGCCGUAACUGACGCUGAGGAGCGAAAGCGUGGGGAGCGAACAGGAUUAGAUACCCUGGUAGUCCACGCCGUAAACGUUGGGCGCUAGAUGUAGGGACCUUUCCACGGUUUCUGUGUCGUAGCUAACGCAUUAAGCGCCCCGCCUGGGGAGUACGGCCGCAAGGCUAAAACUCAAAGGAAUUGACGGGGGCCCGCACAAGCGGCGGAGCAUGCGGAUUAAUUCGAUGCAACGCGAAGAACCUUACCAAGGCUUGACAUACACCGGAAACGGCCAGAGAUGGUCGCCCCCUUGUGGUCGGUGUACAGGUGGUGCAUGGUUGUCGUCAGCUCGUGUCGUGAGAUGUUGGGUUAAGUCCCGCAACGAGCGCAACCCUCGUUCUAUGUUGCCAGCGCGUUAUGGCGGGGACUCAUAGGAGACUGCCGGGGUCAACUCGGAGGAAGGUGGGGAUGACGUCAAAUCAUCAUGCCCCUUAUGUCUUGGGCUUCACGCAUGCUACAAUGGCCGGUACAAAGGGCUGCGAUACCGUAAGGUGGAGCGAAUCCCAAAAAGCCGGUCUCAGUUCGGAUUGAGGUCUGCAACUCGACCUCAUGAAGUCGGAGUCGCUAGUAAUCGCAGAUCAGCAACGCUGCGGUGAAUACGUUCCCGGGCCUUGUACACACCGCCCGUCAAGUCAUGAAAGUCGGUAACACCCGAAG